GAUUCAAAUACAUAACCAGUGAGCGUUUAAAACUAUCGCCUUACUUUAGGCCGGUUCACAACGGCUUGUUAAUUUGAGCGGUACGGUUUUCGCGGGAAAUUCGAGCACGGCGCGGCGUCAUUACGUCUUGUCCGUAAACACAAAAGAAGCAGUCCCGCCAAUUCUACACUACAGCUGCAGAUUUUCAGAAGGUGUCUCUCAAGGAUGCUGAAAACCACACAAUGCAGUGGGACAGACAUUUACAGCCAAGAGUCACCCGCCGUGCCGAUAUGUCUACAAAUGCCUGAAAAGAGUACAAGCAUGUGUCUAAAAAGGGACCUGGUAAAGGUGCUCCGAGGGGAAACAGAGCAAGAAAGAGAGUUAGGAAAAGGGAGAGGGAGUCGAGAGUUUCCUCCCACGUACACACGCAGGAAGUCACUGCUGAGCUGAUACAAAGCGUCAUUACAGGGCUGACUUAUCCGUGCCGAGGUUUAAAGGCCAGUGACCAAAGACCACAAAAAAGGAUGAGAGAUCACUCCAAACAUCAAACAUCCUGGAAACACAGAGGGAGGAAGCAGUUUCAUUAGGCCAUGAAGAAUCCAGACCAAAACAAAACAAGCAAGAACAGUUUGUGCGUAUUUUUUCUGCGCACAGGAAUGUGUGUAGGCUGUUCCGUUUUUUUUCAAAUAGUGAUUACAUACAUCUUUGGGAAAGCACACUCGUGUUGGUUUGUAACUGAGAAAAGAACUUUGAAUGUGGAGGAUUUAUUGGAGUUUGAACUCCUAAGUUUGAGUGAGUAAUACAGAAGAACGUAGGAGAAAAGGAGGAGAGGGAAGAGAUGAGAGGAGGUUACCCGUAAUAACAACCCUGCAAAUGCUAAAAAGAGAGAGGCUGUGUUCUAAACAGUGUACUGUGCAGUAUAUAGUGCAUUUUAAGUGUAGUGUGUGAAAACCAAUGCAUUACGCAAAGCAUUUUUAAAAAGAGAUGCAAUUUGCUCAUGUUAAAAUUACACCUUUGAAAGCAAAAACGAUCGUCUUUGAAAAUUAUGAAAUGCUAUUAUUCGUAAUGUAAUCAUUAAUAUUUGAUGUUAUACAACCUUAGGAUGUCGAUCGCGUUUACACACUACGUCUGAAACAUU